GUUUAGGAAGGGUCCACUCGUGUGUCUUUGCUGCAUGUGGGAUAUCAUUUUGGUUAGAGACUAAAAAAUUCAGGUAUACAGGUAAACUCUCUAGGAGACAAAAAAUUGGGAUGAUAGCAUCACGCUUCACUAUGGUCUCUAUAGAGUCAGAUCAAGGAUUAGAGGAAUUAAUAAGAGAAUAUUUUCCAGGGAUUGAUGUGGAUUCUGGCAUCAAUUAUUUAAGUCUGGGAAUGGGGAGACUUGGCCAGACAGCGGUUCCUGGGAAGUAGAUCUGGGGCUUCUAGCUGGCCACAAGCUCAAUUUGAGCCAGAUGUAUACAGCUGCCAAGGACACCAUCUUAGCUUGCAUUUACAGAGCCAGUGUAUGCAUCGUGGAUUCAAGGAAGGUAAAGCAAGAAAACCAUUUUAAAUGAGCUCGACAGGCACGUCCGGAGCAGGAAGAGCGCCCCUCUUCAACCCCUCUUCUGUCUCACGCCUGCUCUGACACUGACCUCCCGCCUCCCCCUUUCACUGACAAGGACCCCAUGAUUACCCUGGACCUGCCUGGAUCAUCAAAGGAUUUUUCUUGGCGAGUGUAAGACUCCUAUGAGUAAAGAGUAGAGGCUCGGUUGAUCUUGGUAUCCAAACCUGGCUCCGGCAUUUAAGUCACUGUGUGAUGGUGGGCUGGUGAAUGCAGCUGUCCAAGGCUACCUCUUCGUCUCUAGAGUUUGUUCAUAGUUUUCUGGUAAGGUUUCUGUGAUGCCAUGAUCAUAACUAGAAGCGCUUUCCACAGCACCAUACAAAUAUUACUUACCAUUCAUAGAUAAUUCGCCCAACGAGCAUAAUCAGCAGGUCAACCCAGAGACUGUGGCCUCUCUUGUAAAUAAAAGCUUGAGAUUGGAUGCCAAUUUUCAGCCGGAAAGAGUCUCACAUUGGGUCUCGGGGCUGUAGAGGAGCCUGACUUCACCGUUCCAACUGCCUCAGAGCCAAGAUGGACACUUGCUGACUGGGAGCAGCUAUGGUUCUACCUCGGAGUCAUGGGCAUUACCUUCUUGAGUUCCUAAGUCAUUGUCAAGAUCUGCUUUCUACGCUGGAGGCAAAUCCAAAAUGGCAGCGAAGGCUGGGUCUCAGGGCUUCGCGGUGCUACUGUAGAUCCGUCGCUAGUCAGAUGGGCUUAGGACUCCUUUGAGACUCCAUUUCUCAUCUGGCAAAUGGGGCACAUUGGAUGAGUUCAGGCAAUCGACAAUCUAUUCUGUUACUUUUAAAAAAUGGGCUAAGUAGACAGGGUAAUUCCUUACCAAUGUAUCUUAGGACUUUUUGUAUUUUCUUUUAGAUUUUAUUUAUUUAUUUGACAGAGAGUGAGAGAGAGAGAGAGAGAGAGAGAACACAAGCAGGGGGAACAGCAGGCAGAGGGAGAGGAAGAAGUAGGCUCCCAGAAGAGCAGGAAGCCUGACUCGGGGCUUGAUCCCAAGACCCCGAGAUCAUGACCUAAGCUGAAAGCAGAUGCUUAAUGGCUGAGCCACCCAGGUGCCCCUUUCUGUAUUUUCUUAAGUGGUUUCUGUUUUGGGGAAUAGAAUGGUGGUUAUCAGGGGCUGGCGGGAGGCAGCAGUGACAGGACAGGAGAGAUGCUCUCUGAGGAUACAAACCUGCAACUACUAGAGAAAUGAAUCCUGGAGGUCUAUUGCACAGCGCAGUGAUUACAGACAACAACACUGUUAUAAACACCAAACUUCCUAGGAGGCUAGGUCUUCAUUAUUCCCACCACAAAGGAGCCAUGGUAAUUUUGGGGGGUAAUGGAGGUGUUAGCUAACGCUACAAUGGCAAUCAUGCAUGCAAUGUAUACAUUUAUCAAGUCAAAAUGUUGCACACUGUAAAGUUAUACAAGGUUCUAUGGCAGAUACAUUUCCAUUUUAAAAAAGGUUUGUGUUUUUUAAAAGAUUUUAUUUAUUUAUUUGAGAGAGAUCGAGAGCACGACCAGGGGCAGGGGCAGAGGGACAAGAAGACUCCCCAGUGAGCAGGAAGCCCGACACCACACGGGGCUCGAUCUCAGGACCCUGAGGUUAUGAGCCGAAGUCAGAUGCUUAACCGACUGAUCCUCCCUGGCGCCCUCCAAAAACAGUUUCUGAUUCGAAGGUAUCUGGACGCCAGAAAAAAAUACGAACAAAACUUUCAUAAUAUUUGUAUUUUAAGAAUUAAAAGUUUAAGCCUAAGAGUUAAAACAGGUGAAAAUGAAGUUUCCCUUCCUCUCUUGGUCACGGUCUCCUUGUUCCCAUCUUCAGAGGAGACCACGGUUACUGGUUCCUAGUCUGUUCUUCCAGAGAUGUUCUAGGCCAAUGGUUCCAAACCAGCAGACGAUGUUGACUCUGGGGGGCAAUUUUGACUCUGGGGGCGUUUGGCGGAAUCUGGAGACAUUUCUGUUUGUCACAGCUGAGGGAGGGGUGCCCCUGGCCUCUGGUGGGUAGAAGCCAGAGAUCUUACAACAGCGCAGGACUGCUCCCCGUAGCAGAGAAUUGUCUGGCCGCAAACACCACCAGUGCUGAGAUUCAGGAUUCUUGCUGUAUGUGUAUUAGCAAAUACAAGCGACACACACAGACACCUGCACACACAUGCCCUUGCCAUGUACAAACUGUGGAUAAGACCAUACACUUGACUUUGUCUUGUCUUUGUCUCUUUGCUCUGGAGAAGUACCUGCACAUACAGAUCCUUACAAACUACAGAAUAUCCUGCUGGAUAGAUGGGUCAUUCAUUUCCUCAGUCCCCUAUUGAGACACAUUUUCAUUGUUUCCAGCUUCCGCAAAUGAACAAUAUUGCUAUAGUAAUGUAGAGACUUACUGAAUCGUUUUCUUAUAUGCCUGGAACUAAUAUAACACUGUAUGUUAAUUAUGCUUCAAUAAAAAAUUGCUGUGAUUAUUCCUUUUUUCAAAAAAAAGAUUUUAUUUAUUUAUUUGAGAGAGAGAGAGAGAUGGAGCAGGGGGCAGGGGAAUGGGCAGAGUCAGAGGGAGAAGUCUCACCACUGAGCAAGGAGCCCAAUGACUUGGGGCUCAAUCCCAGAACCCUGAGAUCAUAACCCAAGUUGACAGCAGACGCUGAACAGACUGAGCCACCCAGGUGUCCCUCUGAUUAUUCUUGUUCACAAAUGCUCAUAUACUCAUGUAUACUUGUCUGAUAAUUCCUCCAACUGAUA